rfam:Gossypium arboreum cultivar AKA8401 contig_59909_3, whole genome shotgun sequence.
CCCGCUGAGUUUAAGCAUAUCAAUAAGCGGAGGAAAAGAAACUUACCAGGAUUCCCCUAGUAACGGCGAGCGAACCGGGA